rnacentral:rRNA from 1 species
GUGAGGAAUUUUCCGCAAUGGGCGAAAGCCUGACGGAGCAAUGCCGCGUGAAGGAUGAAGGCCUAUGGGUUGUAAACUUCUUUUCUCAGAAAAGAAUUAUGACGGUAUCUGAGGAAUAAGCAUCGGCUAACUCUGUGCCAGCAGCCGCGGUAAGACAGAGGAUGCAAGCGUUAUCCGGAAUGAUUGGGCGUAAAGCGUCUGUAGGUUGUUUAAAAAGUAUUCUGUCAAAGAUUAGGGCUUAACCCUAGAUAGGCAGAAUAAACUUUUAAGCUAGAGUUUGGUAGAGGCAGAGGGAAUUCCCGGUGGAGCGGUGAGAUGCGUAGAUAUCGGGAGGAACACCAAAGGCGAAGGCACUCUGCUGGGCCAAUACUAACACUGAGAGACGAAAGCGAGGGGAGCAAAUGGGAUUAGAAACCCGGGUAGUCC